GGUUGUAUAGUGUAGCGGUUAUCACCUUGGAUUCUGACUUCUUCCAGUAACCCCGGUUCGAUUCCGGGUACGACCU
rnacentral:tRNA from 1 species